rnacentral:lncRNA from 1 species
CUGAAAACACCUCCGCAAAAUGGUAAAGACUGGAGAGGGGCUCCACGAAUGCCGAAUUGAAGAAAGAGAAAAGUAUCAGGACUGAUGCUGUUACAACUACAUUAAAAAAGAGUUUGCCAUCAAAGUGCUGGUUUUUUUAGAGAGAAAGAAGCUCUGAACUACACUUGUGAUGAAAGCAGCCUCAUUAAGACUUGGGUUCCUUGCAUUCUCAGUUCAUUUGGAUUCUCAUGAAUAAGGGAGA